UACAGAGGGUGCGAGCGUUGUUCGGAAUUAUUGGGCGUAAAGGGCGCGUAGGCGGUGCGGUAAGUCACCUGUGAAAUCUCCUGGCUCAACUGGGAGCUUGCAGGCGAAACUGCCGUGCUGGAGUGUGGGAGAGGUGCGUGGAAUUCCUGGUGUAGCGGUGAAAUGCGUAGAUAUCAGGAGGAACACCUGUGGCGAAAGCGGCGCACUGGACCAACAACUGACGCUGAGGCGCGAAAAGCUAGGGGGAGCAAACAGG
rnacentral:rRNA from 1 species